rnacentral:rRNA from 1 species
UACAGAGGGUGCGAGCGUUAAUCGGAAUUACUGGGCGUAAAGCGCACGUAGGCGGUUUCUUAAGUCAGGGGUGAAAUCCUGGAGCUCAACUCCAGAACUGCCUUUGAUACUGGGAGACUUGGAGUCCGGGAGAGGUGAGUGGAACUGCGAGUGUAGAGGUGAAAUUCGUAGAUAUUCGCAAGAACACCAGUGGCGAAGGCGGCUCACUGGCCCGGUACUGACGCUGAGGUGCGAAAGCGUGGGGAGCAAACAGG